rnacentral:rRNA from 1 species
CAAACGACUCUCGGCAACGGAUAUCUCGGCUCACGCAUCGAUGAAGAACGUAGCAAAAUGCGAUACUUGGUGUGAAUUGCAGAAUCCCGUGAACCAUCGAGUUUUUGAACGCAAGUUGCGCCCAAAGCCAUUCGGCCGAGGGCACGUCUGCCUGGGCGUCACGCAUCGC